rnacentral:rRNA from 1 species
CCUACGGGUGGCUGCAGUCGAGAAUCAUUCACAAUGGGGGAAACCCUGAUGGUGCGACGCCGCGUGGGGGAAUGAAGGUCUUCGGAUUGUAAACCCCUGUCAUGUGGGAGCAAAUUAAAAAGCUAGUACCACAAGCGGAAGAAACGGCUAACUCUGUGCCCGCAGCCGCCGUAAUACCGAGGUCUCAAGCGUUGUUCGGAAUCACUGGGCUUAAAGCGUGCGGAGGCUGUUUCGUAAGUAGUGUGGGAAAGGGGCGGGCUCAACCCGCGGACGGCACAUGAUACUGCGAGACUAGAGUAAUGGAGGGGGAACCGGAAUGCUCGGUGUAGCAGUGAAAUGCGUAGAUAUCGAGAGGAACACUCGUGGCGAAGGCGGGUUCCUGGACAUUAACUGACGCUGAGGCACGAAGGCCAGGGUAGCGAAAGGGAUUAGAUACCCGGGUAGUC